CAUGUAUCUUGUAGCUCACAUCUAGCCAUGAAUAAUGGCAAAGCCCUCUUGGACGACCACGUCCCGGUGCUCGCGGGAACCGAUCGAUCAAGAACCGCGUAUCGUACAUCUGCAUGCAGUACUAGUGCACUGCUACACGCGUCGUUGCAUCUAUCUGCAGUUCUUCACCAAUCUUUGCUGCUGCCGAACCAAUUAGGUACGAGAUGGAGAGAGGGCAGGAGGAGGCUCCGGCGAUCAAUGCAAGAGGAGCAAGGCGGAGGCGGAGGGGCAAGACGGCUGGUCACGGCGACCACAACCUCCAUGACCAGGUGAGGGGAUCAAGAUGACAAGAAGUCAAAGCUCAACAAGGUAUUUUGGUUUCCUCCAAUACUUCAAGAGUUCUAUCAGCAACUCAUCGUGCAACAUUUCAGAUUGCAUGGGACUAGCAUAUAUAUG
rnacentral:lncRNA from 1 species